GCAAAAGGCAAAAGCAAUUUUAUAUUGUCAUAAAUGAAAUUUUGUACAAAGCACUGCAGAAAGAGGAAAAUUUUCCUUUCAUUGACAGUGAUCAUUGAUUGUUUAAGGGAAGCAAAAGGGUAAACUUCCGCCGCAAAAGCGACCAAUAUGACAAUACAUUUUGCAAUGAUGCAACAAAGCAUGACAGGAAAUUUCAUAUGAAUUCAGCAAUAUAUAAAAUCCACCAGAGUCCUGAUAUACUAUUUGAUCGAUCAUAGGGUAAUCUUGAUGAGAAGAGAUGAUGCUAGGAUGACUUGUUAUUUUUAAUUUCUUUGGUCAGGCCUUGAGCUUGUUGGCCCUAGAGAUUGGAGAAGCAAAACUCAAAAGCUUUAGUAACUGUGUAGAAAUAAAAUUAACCUUUUGCCAGUCCUUCAAUUGCUCUGGACCUGAACCUGUUUUCCACCCUUUAGGGCCAUUAUUCGGGAUCAUGUAAAAUAUUUCUGGAUUAAGCAGCACAAGCUUUAAAACCUUAAUUCUUCCUCUUCCUUAUCACUAUCUAAACUUUAUAACAAUUGAAUAUCACUUCUGGAAUGCAGGCUAAUUCUGGCCAGUGCUGCCCUUUACCCUUCUGGCACCUUUGAUGAAGUAAAGGGCAGUCGUAGAUAUACAAUCGCAAAAGAGAGGAAGGCAGACCAUUCUUCGGAAAGGAGACAAGCUUAGGGCAACUAACCACCUCAAGAUGUUUAAUCGACGUGAGGCUUUGGAAACCUUUGUUAGAAAGGUAUUUCAGGUCUUUGAAUCCUUCAAUGGUAAGACUGAUAAGAGAGGCAGGCAACUCCAUAUUUAGCUUAUUAUGUGGAAAGGACACCACACCAGGA
rnacentral:misc_RNA from 1 species